rnacentral:rRNA from 1 species
ACGAACGCUGGCGGCGUGCUUAACACAUGCAAGUCGAACGAAGCUAUUCGACGGAAUCCUUCGGGAGGAAGAUGAAUAGACUUAGUGGCGGACGGGUGAGUAACGCGUGAGCAACCUGCCUACAAGAGGGGGACAACAGCUGGAAACGGCUGCUAAUACCGCAUAAGACCACGCUUUCACAUGAAAGAGAGGUCAAAGAUUUAUCGCUUGUAGAUGGGCUCGCGUCCCAUUAGCUAGUUGGUGAGGUAAUGGCCCACCAAGGCGACGAUGGGUAGCCGACCUGAGAGGGUGAUCGGCCACAUUGGAACUGAGACACGGUCCAAACUCCUACGGGAGGCAGCAGUGGGGAAUAUUGGGCAAUGGGGGAAACCCUGACCCAGCAACGCCGCGUGAGGGAAGAAGGCUUUCGGGUUGUAAACCUCUGUCCUUAGGGACGAAGAAGUGACGGUACCUAAGGAGGAAGCUCCGGCUAACUACGUGCCAGCAGCCGCGGUAAUACGUAGGGAGCAAGCGUUGUCCGGAAUUACUGGGCGUAAAGGGUGCGUAGGCGGCGCGUUAAGUCAGAUGUGAAAUACCCGUGCUUAACAUGGGGGGUGCAUCUGAUACUGGCGUGCUUGAGUGCAGGAGAGGAAAGCGGAAUUCCUAGUGUAGCGGUGAAAUGCGUAGAUAUUAGGAGGAACACCAGUGGCGAAGGCGGCUUUCUGGACUGUAACUGACGCUGAGGCACGAAAGCGUGGGGAGCAAACAGGAUUAGAUACCCUGGUAGUCCACGCCGUAAACGAUGGAUACUAGGUGUAGGGGCCAUAAGGCCUCUGUGCCGCAGCAAACGCAAUAAGUAUCCCGCCUGGGGAGUACGACCGCAAGGUUGAAACUCAAAGGAAUUGACGGGGGCCCGCACAAGCAGCGGAGCAUGUGGUUUAAUUCGAAGCAACGCGAAGAACCUUACCAAGGCUUGACAUCCUCUGACGACUGUAGAGAUACAGUUUUCCUUCGGGACAGAGAGACAGGUGGUGCAUGGUUGUCGUCAGCUCGUGUCGUGAGAUGUUGGGUUAAGUCCCGCAACGAGCGCAACCCUUGUCACUAGUUGCCAGCAUUUCGGAUGGGAACUCUAGUGAGACUGCCGGGGACAACUCGGAGGAAGGUGGGGACGACGUCAAAUCAUCAUGCCCCUUAUGUCUUGGGCUACACACGUGCUACAAUGGCCGGUACAAAGGGCAGCGAAGCCGCAAGGUGGAGCGAAUCUCAAAAAGCCGGUCUCAGUUCGGAUUGUGGGCUGCAACCCGCCCACAUGAAGUCGGAGUUGCUAGUAAUCGCGAAUCAGCAUGUCGCGGUGAAUGCGUUCCCGGGCCUUGUACACACCGCCCGUCACACCAUGGAAGUUGGGGGGACCCGAAGCCGGUGGCCUAACCGCAAGGAGGGAGCCGUCGAAGGUAAAACCAAUGACUGGGGUG